rnacentral:lncRNA from 1 species
UGAGAACCCGCCACCCAGGGAGUCCUGAUCCUGACCCAGAACAAGCACACCAUAGGGCGGCACGGGGUGGCCCGUGCUGAGUCCCUGAGCCCUUGCACGUUGCCUCCCAUCCGUGAACAGCUUCCAGUGACCGCUGCGCUGCUCCCACGGAAGAUGGCGUUGAAGGGCGCAUGGUGGCCGCCUCCGGUUCCGCGAAGGUGCGCAGCUGCAGUGCGUUGGCCACAGCUGGCGUGGCCAGGGAGAAGAGUGGCCACCUCGGUUGCUGUCUCGUCCCACUGAACAUGCACGCAAGCCGUGAGCGCCGCCAGCGCGGGCAGUACCGUGGGCAGCCGUGUUGUCCUGUCAGCAGUCCUCUUGUGGAAGACCAACGCAGCCGUGACCUCACUGAGCUGGGAGCCAAAGCCGUGGGGCUAGAGCUCAGGAAAAGGGAUGGCAUUUGCUUGUACAAAAGGAUGGUCUCCAGGAGCGUCUUCAGGAUUGCAGACUGGGAACCGUAACCCUGGUAAGUUUCAAGGGCUACAGAAAUCCACUCUCCAGGGAGGGGUGGACACAGCCCAGGAGCUCAGGGCCAUGUGGUCUUCUGGGGGCUCUCAGCUUGGGGGGGGGUUGUCAAGGCUCUGCCUUGUCUGUCCUACAUUCUCUAUGUUUUCUUAGGUAUUUGUUUGAGUCAGGGUCAGCCAUGUAGCUAUGCUGGCCUUUGAGUCCUCCUACCUGAAGAUGCAACUGUGGACUGCCACACUCAUCCAUUUCCAUACCCCACCCCGUUUCUUAAGAUCUUUGACGACACUGUCCCCUCUACCUGGAUUAGCCUCCCACACCCUCAGUUGUCCCUUCUUCAGGAUAGAUUCUCAGUCCCCAGCCCCCACCAACAUUAGUGGUAGGCCUAUCCUAGCCCAGAUGUACAAACUGGGGAUAUGGUAGCCAUGGGUGAUUUGGAGACUGCUCCUGGCAAGCUACAGGGAUUGGCCUUCUGGGUCUCUGUCCCAGCCCUGGCAUGCACAAAUGACUUAGACAACACACUGUCCUUGCCUCAUGCCAUUUGGGAGUCUGGCCCCUCACAAUAAUAAUGCAUACCCUUUUUUUAUAUAAAAAUACGUCCCGGGCUCAGGAGGACUCAGAAGUGCACAUUCUCGGGACCCUGAGAAUCGCCAAUUUAUUGUAGUUUUGCCACUUUAAAAAUAAUACCUGUUUCUACCUGUCCCAUCUCAACAAACGUGGGUAGGAAAUAGUAGCUGGGAGCUGAGGUUCAAUUAUCACUAUAUGCAGUGUGGACCGUAGUGUCCCUUCUGUCUGCACCCUCCAGCCCCGUGUGGCCCACCUCUCUCCCUCAAAUAAAUUUGACUGCCACCACGGGUCUCCUCUCCA